rnacentral:lncRNA from 1 species
AAAGAUUCAAACCACAUUUUAGAUUAUGAACACGCUUAUGCAAAUGGGCCUUUGAAACAAAGAGAUCUCAUGGGUAAACCACAAAUGAAUAGAUUUUGGAUUAGUAAUGUAAAAAGAUUCAAACCACAUUUUAGAUUAUGAACACGCUUAUGCAAAUGGGCCUUUGAAACAAAGAGAUCUCAUGGGUAAACCACAAAUGGCCGGACAAAAUUGGGAUAUGACACAUACUGCUUGAAAAGAUAGGAGUAUGAGAGAA